UGCGUAGGCGGUCCUGUAAGUAUGGUGUGAAAUCUCCCGGCUUAACUGGGAGGGUGCGCUAUAGACUGCGGGACUCGAGUGUGGGAGAGGAAAGUGGAAUUCCUGGUGUAGCGGUGAAAUGCGUAGAUAUCAGGAGGAACGCCGGUGGUGUAAACGGCUUUCUGGACCAUAACUGACGCUGAGGCACGAAAGCGUGGGUAGCAAACAGGAUUAGAUACCCUGGUAGUCCACGCCCUAAACGAUGCAUAUUUGGUGUGGGUCAUUCAGUUGAUCCGUGCCGGAGCUAACGCGUUAAAUAUGCCGCCUGGGGAGUACAGUCGCAAGGCUGAA
rnacentral:rRNA from 1 species